rnacentral:rRNA from 1 species
GGUAACACUGAAUGGAGGACCGAACCGACUUACGUUGAAAAGUGAGCGGAUGAACUGAGGGUAGCGGAGAAAUUCCAAUCGAACCUGGAGAUAGCUGGUUCUCUCCGAAAUAGCUUUAGGGCUAGCCUCAAGUGAUGAUUAUUGGAGGUAGAGCACUGUUUGGACGAGGGGCCCCUCUCGGGUUACCGAAUUCAGACAAACUCCGAAUGCCAAUUAAUUUAACUUGGGAGUCAGAACAUGGGUGAUAAGGUCCGUGUUCGAAAGGGAAACAGCCCAGACCACCAGCUAAGGUCCCAAAAUAUAUGUUAAGUGGAAAAGGAUGUGGCGUUGCCCAGACAACUAGGAUGUUGGCUUAGAAGCAGCCAUCAUUUAAAGAGUGCGUAAUAGCUCACUAGUCGAGUGACACUGCGCCGAAAAUGUACCGGGGCUAAACAUAUUACCGAAGCUGUGGAUUGUCCUUUGGACAAUGGUAGGAGAGCGUUCUAAGGGCGUUGAAGCAUGAUCGUAAGGACAUGUGGAGCGCUUAGAAGUGAGAAUGCCGGUGUGAGUAGCGAAAGACGGGUGAGAAUCCCGUCCACCGAUUGACUAAGGUUUCCAGAGGAAGGCUCGUCCGCUCUGGGUUAGUCGGGUCCUAAGCUGAGGCCGACAGGCGUAGGCGAUGGAUAACAGGUUGAUAUUCCUGUACCACCUAUAAUCGUUUUAAUCGAUGGGGGGACGCAGUAGGAUAGGCGAAGCGUGCGAUUGGAUUGCACGUCUAAGCAGUAAGGCUGAGUAUUAGGCAAAUCCGGUACUCGUUAAGGCUGAGCUGUGAUGGGGAGAAGACAUUGAGUCUUCGAGUCGUUGAUUUCACACUGCCGAGAAAAGCCUCUAGAUAGAAAAUAGGUGCCCGUACCGCAAACCGACACAGGUAGUCAAGAUGAGAAUUCUAAGGUGAGCGAGCGAACUCUCGUUAAGGAACUCGGCAAAAUGACCCCGUAACUUCGGGAGAAGGGGUGCUCUUUAGGGUUAACGCCCAGAAGAGCCGCAGUGAAUAGGCCCAAGCGACUGUUUAUCAAAAACACAGGUCUCUGCUAAACCGUAAGGUGAUGUAUAGGGGCUGACGCCUGCCCGGUGCUGGAAGGUUAAGAGGAGUGGUUAGCUUCUGCGAAGCUACGAAUCGAAGCCCCAGUAAACGGCGGCCGUAACUAUAACGGUCCUAAGGUAGCGAAAUUCCUUGUCGGGUAAGUUCCGACCCGCACGAAAGGCGUAACGAUUUGGGCACUGUCUCAACGAGAGACUCGGUGAAAUCAUAGUACCUGUGAAGAUGCAGGUUACCCGCGACAGGACGGAAAGACCCCGUGGAGCUUUACUGUAGCCUGAUAUUGAAAUUCGGCACAGCUUGUACAGGAUAGGUAGGAGCCUUUGAAACGUGAGCGCUAGCUUACGUGGAGGCGCUGGUGGGAUACUACCCUAGCUGUGUUGGCUUUCUAACCCGCACCACUUAUCGUGGUGGGAGACAGUGUCAGGCGGGCAGUUUGACUGGGGCGGUCGCCUCCUAAAAGGUAACGGAGGCGCUCAAAGGUUCCCUCAGAAUGGUUGGAAAUCAUUCAUAGAGUGUAAAGGCAUAAGGGAGCUUGACUGCGAGACCUACAAGUCGAGCAGGGUCGAAAGACGGACUUAGUGAUCCGGUGGUUCCGCAUGGAAGGGCCAUCGCUCAACGGAUAAAAGCUACCCCGGGGAUAACAGGCUUAUCUCCCCCAAGAGUUCACAUCGACGGGGAGGUUUGGCACCUCGAUGUCGGCUCAUCGCAUCCUGGGGCUGUAGUCGGUCCCAAGGGUUGGGCUGUUCGCCCAUUAAAGCGGUACGCGAGCUGGGUUCAGAACGUCGUGAGACAGUUCGGUCCCUAUCCGUCGUGGGCGUAGGAAAUUUGAGAGGAGCUGUCCUUAGUACGAGAGGACCGGGAUGGACAUACCUCUGGUGUACCAGUUGUCGUGCCAACGGCAUAGCUGGGUAGCUAUGUGUGGACGGGAUAAGUGCUGAAAGCAUCUAAGCAUGAAGCCCCCCUCAAGAUGAGAUUUCCCAACUUCGGUUAUAAGAUCCCUCAAAGAUGAUGAGGUUAAUAGGUUCGAGGUGGAAGCAUGGUGACAUGUGGAGCUGACGAAUACUAA